GUCGGCAAACAGCAAGAACCUUGUACCUUCCAGAUAAUUCCAGCAGCUUUACCGGAGGCGCCUACGAACUGCACUUUAGUGAACGUGACCUCAAGUAGCGUAUCAGUGACAUGCCUAUCGGGAUUCGACGGUGGCCUGCCGCAUGUGUUUGUUUUAGAGGCCUACACCACCAAACCUCACCAUCUCUACGCAAACAUCACUGCCAAAGCCCCCAAGUUCCAAGUAUCAGGCCUAUCCGGAGAAACCGAGCUGCAACUCAUCGUUUAUUCAGGGAACGCUAAAGGCAGGAGUGGUGGAGUGGCCAGACUUGUAGCCAACACUCCGGAGCUGCCGGUGAAGCAGCUAGAAACCCGGUUAG
rnacentral:lncRNA from 1 species